rnacentral:rRNA from 1 species
UGGGGAAUUUUGGACAAUGGGGGCAACCCUGAUCCAGCCAUGCCGCGUGAGUGAAGAAGGCCUUCGGGUUGUAAAGCUCUUUCGGCCGGGAAGAAAUCGUAUGGGCUGAUACCCUGUGCGGAUGACGGUACCGGCAUAAGAAGCACCGGCUAACUACGUGCCAGCCGCCGCGGUAAUACGUAGGGUGCGAGCGUUAAUCGGAAUUACUGGGCGUAAAGCGUGCGCAGGCGGUUUUGUAAGACAGGCGUGAAAUCCCCGGGCUCAACCUGGGAACUGCGUUUGUGACUGCAAGGCUAGAGUACGGCAGAGGGGGGUGGAAUUCCACGUGUAGCAGUGAAAUGCGUAGAGAUGUGGAGGAACACCAAUGGCGAAGGCAGCCCCCUGGGUCGAUACUGACGCUCAUGCACGAAAGCGUGGGUAGCAAACA